rnacentral:rRNA from 1 species
CCUACGAGAGGCAGCAGUGAGGAAUAUUGGUCAAUGGCCGGAAGGCUGAACCAGCCAUGCCGCGUGAAGGUCAGUGCCCUAUGGGCGUUAAACUUCUUUUGUGCGGGAGCAAUAAUGGUCACGUGUGGCCAGACGAGAGGACCGUACGAAUAAGCAUUGGCGAACUCCGUGGCAGCAGCCGCGGUAAUACGGAGGAUCCGAGCGUUAUCCGGAUUUAUUGGGUUUAAAGGGAGCGUAGAUGGGUUGUUAAGUCAGUUGUGAAAGUUUGCGGCUCAACCGUAAAAUUGCAAUUGAUACUGGAAGCGUUGAGUACAGUUGAGGUAGGCGGAAUUCGUGGUGUAGCGGUGAAAGGCUUAGAGAUCACGAAGAACUCCGAUUGCGAAGGCAGCCUACUAAACUGCCACUGACAUUGAUGCUCGAAAGUGUGGGUAUCAAACAGGAUUAGAUACCCUAGUAGUC